rnacentral:piRNA from 1 species
UCUUAAACCCCUUACGUGAAUUUGGAGA